rnacentral:misc_RNA from 1 species
AAAAAGCAAGAGAACAAACUGCGAUUGAGCCUCUUUUUAGCGCUCAGUAGAGCAGGCGCACAGGAAGCAGAUGAGAAUAAGCCCGUGCUGACUACUCCAAAGGAUUCGGCGGGAAGUAUGGGGUGCAGAAGGAUCGGAUGGAUAAGAAUGCGUCAACCUUUGAGGAUGUCACCCAGGUGUCCUCUGCCUACCAGAAGACAGUACCUGUCGAAGCUGUGACCAGCAAAACAAGUAACAUCAGAGCUAACUUUGAAAACCUCGCUAAGGAGAAAGAGCAGGAGGACAGGCGGAAGGCGGAGGCGGAGAGAGCCCAGCGGAUGGCCAAGGAGCGGCAGGAGCAGGAAGAGGCCAGGAGGAAGCUGGAGGAGCAAGCCAGAGCCAAAACGCAAACGCCCCCUGUGUCGCCCGCACCUCAGCCAACCGAGGAGAGGCUGCCCUCGAGCCCCGUCUAUGAGGAUGCGGCUUCCUUCAAGGCAGAGCUGAGCUACAGAGGCCCUGUGAGUGGGACGGAGCCGGAGCCCGUGUACAGCAUGGAGGCCGCUGACUACCGAGAGGCCAGCAGCCAGCAGGGCCUGGCCUAUGCCACAGAGGCUGUCUAUGAAAGCGCAGAGGCCCCGGGCCACUAUCCCGCAGAGGACAGCACCUACGAUGAGUACGAGAACGAUCUGGGGAUCACAGCCGUCGCCCUGUACGACUACCAGGCUGCGGGCGAUGAUGAGAUCUCAUUUGACCCUGAUGACAUCAUCACCAACAUCGAGAUGAUUGACGACGGCUGGUGGCGCGGGGUGUGCAAGGGCCGCUUCAGGGAGCUCGCAUUCUCUUGUGUUCGUGUUGCCCUCGUGCCCAUCAAGUGCAGUCGGGACCUCCCAGGACAAGCACGAGGCCUCAGGUCGGCCCUGUGGCGGGUAGGCAGGAAGGACUGUCCCAGACGAGGGGCUUCCUCUAGAGUCUCACUGCUGGGGAGGAGAGGACUGGGCCUGAUGGAAGUUAACCCGGAGCUAAGUCACCCAGAGCACAGGAGCUGCCAUGUCAGAUGGGAAAUCUGCCUAUGUCAUACCGUGACAGCCCGCAGGAUCAGGUGACUUCUAGCAGAGACCCUGGUUUUUUUCCUGUGCCCACUCCGGCUUGUCCUCAUCUCUACCCAUCCCCUGAUGCCCAGGUCACCGGGAGGGCUGCUGGGAGCCUCUCCUGUCCCCGCCGGGCAGUGUCACUGAGUCCUUGAAAUCCUCCCCUGCCCCGCGGGUCUCUGGAUUGGGACGCACAGUGCAGUUGAGGUCUGCGUCGGGCUUGGCUUUUCACAAAGGCUGAUGUCUUA